UUUAUAGGGAAAACAGCUCAC
rnacentral:piRNA from 1 species